GGGCGCGUAGCUCAGCUGGCUAGAGUGCCACGUUGACAUCGUGGAGGUCACAGGUUCGAGUCCUGUCGCGCCCA
rnacentral:tRNA from 1 species